UCACAAUUUUUGGUUUCAUAGUCACAAAAAAUACUUGUUGCAAAUAUGUUCGUUUUUGUUUCUGCAAGUGUAAAUGGAGUCAAUGUCAAGUGUUCCAUGGCUAUAAGGAUAGGAGAAUGGGCAACAUUACCAACCAAUCACCAGACAAGGAAAAAAAUUCUUGAAGCAACUACAAAGCUACAUGGCUGCCAAUAUGUACUGCUCCUAUUUGUGAUAACAAUGUAUGAAAGUGAUGAAGAUGGAAUUUUCUGUCCUACUUGUUUCUGUCAUAGACUGUGGGGUCCACCGUUACAAAACUCUACAUCAGCAACAAUCGUUUCUCACUGCUCAAAACCUGCAAAUGUCAUGAAUGAAAAAAUUUUAAUU